GACGAACGCUGGCGGCGUGCUUAACACAUGCAAGUCGAACGAUGAACCCGGAGCUUGCUCUGGGGGAUUAGUGGCGAACGGGUGAGUAACACGUGAGUAACCUGCCCUGGACUCUGGGAUAAGCGUUGGAAACGACGUCUAAUACCGGAUAGGACCUUGGAUCGCAUGAUCUGGGGUGGAAAGUUUUUUCGGUCUGGGAUGGACUCGCGGCCUAUCAGCUUGUUGGUGAGGUAAUGGCUCACCAAGGCGUCGACGGGUAGCCGGCCUGAGAGGGUGACCGGCAGCGGUGAGAAGGGGAAACGGGACAGAGUCCUGGGGGAGGGAGGAGUGGGGAAUGAUGCAGGACGGGGGGAGGCCUGACGCAGGAAGGGCGCGGGCGGGGUGGCGGCGUGCGGGUUGUAGACAGAAGUGGCCAGGGACGAACCGUGAGUGACGGCAAGGGGUAAAGAAAAAACCGCUAAAUAAGUG
rnacentral:rRNA from 1 species